UGCACCCAUCGUCUAGCGGUCAGGACCACCAGCUUUCUCCUGGUGUACGGCAGUUCGAAUCUGCCUGGGUGUAG
rnacentral:tRNA from 1 species